ACGCCGCCCCGAGACGCCGACGAACCGCCCUUCAUCAUCCUCACUCUCUCCGCCUCUUCCUCCUCUAUCGAGACGAGCGCCUCGAGGGAUCCGCCCCGGGUCGAAACCCUAACCCUAGUUGUGGCGGGGGCGGCCGGAGGGAGAGGUCGGGCGGCGGUUGGCGGCGGAGAUCACUAGGGCGUGUCCGUCAUGUAGUGCGCAAUCCGCCG
rnacentral:misc_RNA from 1 species